UAGUGCCCUGAGUGCACAGGAGAGCUAUGGGCUGAUGGUCAGUGAUCAUGGCAGUAGUGGUCCACUCCAGCAGUCCACUAUAGCCUUCGCAGGGCUCAUCAACCAUACUGGGUAACCUUGCUACUCCUGAGUGGUAACUGGAUCCUGCUAUGGAAUAAAAUACCUUGCUUUUGAUGAUUAGGAAAAGAAUCAAAAGAAUCCACUGUAUCAUCUUUUUUCAAGAGGAAAAUGCAGCAAGAACAUCCUCAGCAAUGCUCGUUUCUGCCUUUACUAAUAAACCUACUGAUUAAAGUUUGA